ensembl:snRNA U1 U1 spliceosomal RNA
AAAAUUGCAUCAACAAAGCCGGGUGUUGGUAGCGCAACAGGGUUUCUCUGAGUGUGCCGACCGCUGUGAUUUUUCCCAAAUGCAGGAAACUCGACUGCAUAAUUUGUAGUAGUGGGGGACUCUGUUCACACUCUCCCCUG